rnacentral:rRNA from 1 species
GAUAAACGCUGGCGGCGUGCCUAAUACAUGCAAGUCGAGCGAACGGACGAGAAGCUUGCUUCUCUGAUGUUAGCGGCGGACGGGUGAGUAACACGUGGAUAACCUACCUAUAAGACUGGGAUAACUUCGGGAAACCGGAGCUAAUACCGGAUAAUAUUUUGAACCGCAUGGUUCAAAAGUGAAAGACGGUCUUGCUGUCACUUAUAGAUGGAUCCGCGCUGCAUUAGCUAGUUGGUAAGGUAACGGCUUACCAAGGCAACGAUGCAUAGCCGACCUGAGAGGGUGAUCGGCCACACUGGAACUGAGACGCGGUCCAGACUCCUACGGGAGGCAGCAGUAGGGAAUCUUCCGCAAUGGGCGAAAGCCUGACGGAGCAACGCCGCGUGAGUGAUGAAGGUCUUCGGAUCGUAAAACUCUGUUAUUAGGGAAGAACAUAUGUGUAAGUAACUGUGCACAUCUUGACGGUACCUAAUCAGAAAGCCACGGCUAACUACGUGCCAGCAGCCGCGGUAAUACGUAGGUGGCAAGCGUUAUCCGGAAUUAUUGGGCGUAAAGCGCGCGUAGGCGGUUUUUUAAGUCUGAUGUGAAAGCCCACGGCUCAACCGCGGAGGGUCAUUGGAAACUGGAAAACUUGAGUGCAGAAGAGGAAAGUGGAAUUCCAUGUGUAGCGGUGAAAUGCGCAGAGAUAUGGAGGAACACCAGUGGCGAAGGCGACUUUCUGGUCUGUAACUGACGCUGAUGUGCGAAAGCGUGGGGAUCAAACAGGAUUAGAUACCCUGGUAGUCCACGCCGUAAACGAUGAGUGCUAAGUGUUAGGGGGUUUCCGCCCCUUAGUGCUGCAGCUAACGCACUAAGCACUCCGCCUGGGGAGUACGACCGCAAGGUUGAAACUCAAAGGAAUUGACGGGGACCCGCACAAGCGGUGGAGCAUGUGGUUUAAUUCGAAGCAACGCGAAGAACCUUACCAAAUCUUGACAUCCUUUGACAACUCUAGAGAUAGAGCCUUCCCCUUCGGGGGACAAAGUGACAGGUGGUGCAUGGUUGUCGUCAGCUCGUGUCGUGAGAUGUUGGGUUAAGUCCCGCAACGAGCGCAACCCUUAAGCUUAGUUGCCAUCAUUAAGUUGGGCACUCUAAGUUGACUGCCGGUGACAAACCGGAGGAAGGUGGGGAUGACGUCAAAUCAUCAUGCCCCUUAUGAUUUGGGCUACACACGUGCUACAAUGGACAAUACAAAGGGCAGCGAAACCGCGAGGUCAAGCAAAUCCCAUAAAGUUGUUCUCAGUUCGGAUUGUAGUCUGCAACUCGACUACAUGAAGCUGGAAUCGCUAGUAAUCGUAGAUCAGCAUGCUACGGUGAAUACGUUCCCGGGUCU